AGAUUUUGGCAAUUAUCUUAUUGACCCAUUUAGAAAUUCAAACAACAUUUCCUCCCAUUUGCGAUCGAUUUUCACAUUUCUUGUUUCAUCGACGAAUCCGGCCUCUAGUCCAUCUUCUCCAUCUCCGAAAUCGGGUACGGUGUGAAUUUUUGGUUGGAGCUCCCGAUGUCGUCCCACUCCAAAUCAAAAGUGGAAAGAUAAAAUAAAAAUACCCACCAGAGCUAUACAUACAGCCUCCUGUAUGUAUAUUAGUUUUGAGAGAGAGAGAGAGAUCUAAGCUCGACAGCUUCAACUUUUUCUCUCCAGAUCAGCUCAAUUUUGUAGUUUUUAUGGACAACCCCUUUGGCGACCCGAACGUUAUUGGUGACUCUUACUGCACUCUCUUUGUAGGUCGUCUCUCUCCCCUCACAACUGAAGACACUCUCUGCGAGGUACCCUUUUUUUUAGAUUUGUUAAUUUAUCCAAUUGAAUUGAAGUUGUUGGUUCUUUAAAGUUUUUUGAUCAUUUUGUUUCUCUUUGAAUGUGUAUGGUUCAAUUUAGGAUCAAUUUAUUACUUUUGUUUGUUUUCUCAAGUUAUGAGCAAAUAUGGAAGGGUCAAGAACUUGUGGCCGGUCAGACAUAUAGGUGAUUUCCCUUUAUGUUUUCCUUGAGUGUUUUUAACUGAAUAGACCCACAAGUUGUUUGGUUGAUUUCCUUAGAGGGAAUCCCCUACUUUAAUAUGUUUUAAGGCUUGAGAUGAAUGUUGCCUAGUACUAACAUAUAUUUCUUCCCUACUAAUUAGUGGAACUCUUUAGAUAUCGUCUAUCUUAAUAUACAGAUAUAUGAGAUGAACGAGACGUCCAGAUUUCAGUGAAUGUGACAUUUCACAAGGAGAAAGGAUGUGCGGAGGAGUUUGGGAAAGGAAAGGACCCAACACAGCAUAUUUAGUAGUUAGUUGUCGAACGAGUUGUAAUUGUGUUGUGUUCGUUUUGUAUUUGCUAUCAAGAAAUGGUGUUUUGAGAGCAACUAAGUAUUUGACAGAUGUUUACCAGAACAGCUCUGCACCAUUUUUAUAACUGUUGUAUGUGUUUUAUUUUUAUUCCUUGAAGCCUAAAGAAUUUACUCCUUUGCGUUUCAA